rnacentral:lncRNA from 1 species
AACCAAGCUUUGCAGGGUACAGCGUGAAGAGGAGGUGCAGCUUCAGCAGACUAUCAGCUUUUUAUGGGUGGUUAAGCCUGUUCUGCCAGGGGAGGGGCUCAUCUCUCCCUGCCUAGGGGUCUCUAGCCCUACAGGGCUAUAGGCUUUUCUAUUACAUGGAGACUCAGGUUAUGGAACCCCCAAGACAUGAGCUCACCUCCUUGGCAACAUCUCCAAACAGAACUUGGAACCCUUUUCAAUGGGUGUCACAAUCUAGUAACAGCCGUCUCCCAAGCUCACUUCACCAGAGAUGGUCAACAGCGAACAUGCUGAGCUGCUUCUCCACUUUGAGAGGCCGCAGCCUCACAACCCCAGGGAGAGAAAGUAUCUAUGAAAGAUUAAGAAGACGGCUGACUCCAUCCAGAUGCCACAGGCCACGCUGCAGCAACCGCAUGACUAUCAUAGACACCCCAGGGACGGUCUCCCCAGGAGUGACCACCAGUGACCUACCAAAAUCAAGGUACCCCAGUGAAAUCUCCCUAAGCACAAAUACCAAUGGCACAGAAACUGGGAAGAGCAUGGGGCAAGUAUCACCAGGCCCAGAAACACCCAGUAGCUCUGGGCAGGCCUCUGCAGAGCCAGGCACAGAAAGAGAGACACUGAGAAGCCUGGUGUACAUCCAUCCAGGCCUGGCCGGCACUAUUGGAAACAACUUCGCAAAGAGCCUUGCAGGAUUCUGGCCAGUGUGGUCCCGGCAGACAGUCCGGCUGCUCUCAUUCUCUGAGCCCUGCCUGCCUGUUUCCCUGGGCAGCCAAACUGUCUAUGGUCCCUUCUUCCUGGGCACCUCCACCACCCACACCUCUACCCGAUCGGCCCUGAUUUUGGGAAGAGACAUUGUGACACAAUCUCUUGAGAAUUCCAUCCCGUUUGUGGGCCUGUGUGAUAAAGAUCGAGAUGUGUGGUGUUUGGACAAUAAACAGCUUUUCACCACACACUGGGUAGAGGAGGGAGGAGACCCAUAUACUGUGCCACCUCAGUUGGAGUUAGAAGAGGCCAUUAGGCUUUCUGAGCUAAAGAAAGAUUCUGAGCUCUUAAUUCAUUCAUCGCCUUGUAUACCAGAACAUACCAAAGUGCCUUGUCCAGGAGAAGAGAAAUCCAUCCACCACAGAGCUGCAGGCUGCUGGAGAAAGCUGUAUUAUGUGAAUGGCCACACUUUUCAGCCCAAACGCUUCAGCAGGGAGACCUACACAACCUACAGGACUAAAUCCUAGGGGACAAGAAGAGGGCCAGCCCUGACCAGGAAGCCUGCUUCCUGGUGGAAGAAUACCUCUACAGUUUUAG